rnacentral:siRNA from 1 species
UUAGCUUCACCAGAACCACCA